CGAACACUGAUCGGUAGGAGUGACGGCUCUAAACUGGCAUCAGCUUGACUUUUCCAUUCUCAGUCCAUUGUGAUGUUAUUCCAGGAUGCAGCAGACAGCAUACCUCCAUCUCUUGGAAGCCUCUAUGGUCUUUGUCUGAGGCUAUAUGAUACAGUGGAGAUGCUUCCCCCAUAUAUAAUUCAUUCUAAGAGCAAAAGCAUUUAGGUCCUAAGCUCUCAGCAGAAGCAUUUGUUCCAGACAGAAAAUAAAAUUUUCUCGCAUCCCACUUCCAGGUUGAUCUUCCUGAAUGGCUGGAGUGCAAAUCUUCUCCACAGUCAGCUGGAGGCAUUUACCAGAGGGGUGAAAGAUAGAAACCAGCUCAUAGGAAAAUAUUCGACAGUGCCCUGUACAUAAUGCAUUGUUUUGGUUUUGUCUCAAGGAACAGAAGAACAGGGCAUGCUGCUAAGUUCCAGCCACAGAACAGAAGAGUGCAAUCCUUUUAUAAAUGCCUUCCAGGCAUCAGACGUUCUGGAGAAGUCUGGGAGUCAGCAGUGAUUCUGACCUAAGAUUCCCAGGCACCACAGCACCCCAGUGAUAUGUAGACUGCAGGCCAUGUUUUGGACUCCUCCAUUCCCAGAAGAGGACACCAAACUUCCUGCUCCAAUAAAAAAAAACUGAGAACAACA
rnacentral:sRNA from 1 species